UAUGGAUUGCCAUAUUCGUCAAAUGAUUUGGUUCACAGCAGUCAUUUAAAUUUUUUAUCGCCACAUUAGUUCAUUUACGUCUAAAAAGAUGCACCGACGUGUCGGCUUACUGGUUUCUGACAAGUGUCGGUGGAUUCUACCUUCAACAUGCCAUUCAGUUGGUUUCCAUUCCACAACUGUAAAGAAGGCCAUCCAUGCGAAAAAAUUUGUAUUCACCAAAAGAUUUCAGGGUCUGCCACAGUUGGACAAUUUCAGUUUAGAAAAGGAAGAUUUACCUGAGUUGAAACCUGGAGAUGUCCUCUGCAAAGCGCUUUACCUCAGUGUGGAUCCUUAUAUGAGACCUUACAGCCUUAGUUGGCCUCUUGGUACCACAAUGAAAGGUGGGCAAGUAUCGAGAGUUAUAGAAUCAAAAAAUGUGAAAUACCCUGUUGGAUCUCUUCUGGUUGGUUACUUCGGAUGGAGAACUCAUACAGUUGUCAAUCCUGAUGUUAGAUCAAAUGAUUUUAUGGAGCAGAUCACAGUUUUGCCUGAUUUAGGUACAUUAUGCCCUUCAGUUGGUUUAGGUGCGGUUGGAAUGCCUGGGAAUUCAGCAUAUUUUGGGUUUCUCGAAAUUUGUAAACCGAAACAUGGUGAUGUUGUUGUUGUGAGUGGAGCAGCAGGAGCAGUUGGAAGCUUAGUUGGACAAAUAGCCAAAAUAAAAGGUUGCCAAGUCAUUGGGUUUGCUGGGUCAGAUGAAAAAGUCAAGUGGUUGACAGAUGAGCUUGGUUUUGAUAAGGCAUACAACUACAAAACCUGUGACUGGAAAAGUUCACUGAAAGAAGGUGCACCCAAUGGUGUUGACUGCUAUUUUGAUAAUGUUGGAGGGCAAUUAAGCGUUGCCGUUCGCAGCCACAUGAACCAUUUUGGGCGCAUUUCUGUGUGCGGAGCCAUUUCGUUGUAUAAUGACACUGUACUCACUGUUGUUCCUUGUGUGGAACCUGCCGUAGUCUUCAAACAGUUGAGGAUGGAAGGUUUCCUUGUCCAUCGUUGGACUCACCGUUUUCUGGAAGGAAUGAAUCAGAUGUCAACAUGGAUUCAAGAGGGCAAGAUAAAAAUCAAAGAAACCCAUACCAAUGGUUUCGAAAACAUGCCUGCUGCCUUUAUUGAUAUGCUUAAAGGAGGAAACUUUGGAAAAGCCAUUGUCAAGGCUUAACAAGCAUUUUAUUAGUUACCACUAUAUAGGAAAAAUCUAUUACCCCCCGGAAUCCGGGGGGUAAUAGCAUUUUGGCUAUUGCCCCCCGGAAUCCAGAUGGCGCUGGCAACGGGUACCAGUGCGCCUUUUCUUUUGUAGAAUGCUUUGCAAACAGUGAUAAUAAAUAAUUUUAUAAUAGGCUAAGAAAGGUUAGGUAACGUUAAGUUAAGUUAAGUUAAUUAGGUUAGGUUAGGUUAGGUUAGGUAAGUUAAAUUAAGUUAAGUUAAUUAGGUUAGGUUAGGUUAGGUUAGGUUAGGUUAGGUUAGGUUAGGUAAGUUAAGUUAAGUUAAGUUAAGUUAAGGUUAGGUUAGGUUAGGUUAGGUUAGGUUAGGUUAGGUUAGGUUAGGUUAGGUUAGGUAAGUUAAAUUAAGUUAAGUUAAUUAGGUUAGGUUAGGUUAGGUUAGGUUAGGUUAGGUAAGUUAAAUUAAGUUAAGUUAAGUUAAGUUAAUUAGGUUAGGUUAGGUUAGGUUAGGUUAGGUUAGGUUAGGUUAGGUUAGGUAAGUUAAAUUAAGUUAAGUUAAUUAGGUUAGGUUAGGUUAGGUUAGGUUAGGUUAGGUAAGUUAAAUUAAGUUAAGUUAAUUAGGUUAGGUUAGGUUAGGUUAGGUUAGGUUAGGUUAGUUUAGUUUAGUUUAAUUUAGUUCAGUUUAGUUAGGUUACGUUAAGUUAAGUUAAUUAGGUUAGGUACCAUAGCUGUCGUGAAAAUAGCCUCGCCAGCAGUGCCAUCUGGAUUCCGGGGGGCAAUAGACAAAAUGCUAUUGCCCCCCAGAAUCCGGGGGGCAAUAGGUGUCACCCACUAUAUAUGCAGUUGUUGUUUGAUCAGUUAACAAUAAGCCAUAUGUUAGAUCAUCCAAAAUGGAAUGCACACUGAUGAUGUACACAUCUUUAAAGUAAAGCAUAAAAAUCUUCAUUUGGAAACCAGGAUCUAAAUACAUAGUGUAUUUGGAAUGUGUAAAGUAUGAAACAUCGUUGGUCUGGCAUGUCUGGCCUAAUACGACUUGUCGCGUGGACGCGAAUGGAAGUUACCGUAAAUCGAAGUGGCCAGUAGACAAUGAAGCUAACUUUCCUAGUAUGCGUCGAUCCCGCCGAACUUGUAAGUUGACACUUCGACACAUAAGAUUAGAUGAUGUUCAGUUCUAAUGACAUUCAAACCAAACUUUGUUUUGGACCAAAAUGUUAAAAAACCAAUAUUUAUCUGGUAACAAGCUACAUCCAUGUUUGUUUUCAGCAAAUAAGGAUUUUUAUCCUAUUUGCAUCAGGACUAACUGUCCUGUCAUCCUAUAUCGACAGGACUAACUGUCUAUUAAACAUUUGAAGUUGCUGUAUCAUUAAUCGUGGAUCUGGUGUGCAUUUUCUUUCUUGACUUGGUGCCAGUCAUUCCAGAAGCUCUUGUGCACACUAAGAAGGACUUUCAUGUAAUUUGAUUGAAAACGUUUCUGAUAGAGGCCAAAUACUUGAAAGGACGGAGUGUUAUUCAUCGACUUGGAUUCCUAUUCAUUAACCCUUCAAAAUUAAGUUAUCUUCUUAAAAUUGACUUGAAAGGAUUUUGAUUAUACUGGGCACAUAUCUAGAACAUGCAAUGCCGAAUGUAAUUAAUGUAUCUGCCAAGUAUGUUUUCAUUUAGUCUUCAUAUCCUUCUCGAAGCUCCUGCCAGAAAAAUUUGCUGCACUCUAAAUUUAUGAAUCUUGUAAGGAAAGCAAAAGCAAAAUAAACCUUUCAAAAGUUAUAAA